GAGAAAGGCAGGGAGUGAAAAAAAUCAGAGGGAGGCAGGCUGGGGGGUUGGGCUCCAAGCCUGUGCAUGUGUAUGUGAGAGAGGGAGAGAGAAAGCAGCAAGCGAAUGUGUGUUGUAUAUGUCUGUGUGUGUGUGUGUUUGUGUGCGCGUGCUCUGUUCCUUUCCUUUCUUUGUUUGACUACUGAGUGGGAAAAAAAGCGAGACAGAAUAUAGGGAGAUGAAGAGAGAGUGAGGAAGAGACACAGACAGAGAAAAAGAGGAGGAUCUGAAAGGAGAAUUACUUAUUUUUUUAGAGAAGAAGAAGAAAGACAAAGGAUUUCUAUUUUGGGCUUUUUCCCUUCUGCUCAUAUGUGCAGGCUGUAAAUUCAGAAAAAUAUAUACACUAACAAUAACAAAAACAGUGCUGCAUGCUUUUGACACCAGUGUCAUAUUCAGGAGCAGUGAGCGUUUUGUGUGCUAGCUCAGUGCGCGUGUGUGUGCUGAGGAGGUGGGGGGACGCAGCCUGUGCAGUUUAAAGGGAAAAUACAAGGCACACACAAAGCUGGGAGGCAAGGCAGCAGGAAAGGCAAGGAAAGGGAAGGCAGUGGGAAUCUGCUGAGCUGGCUGACGCUCUCACCAACAAGCCUCUUUUGGAUUUUACUCCACCGAGCCAGCCCUGUGUCUCCCUCUGUGCCUGGCCACGGAGGUGGGGUGUGACAUGGUGGCCUGAAAGGGAGGGACCACCUGUGAUCAGCAGGAUUGAAGAGACCUCAGAGAGAUGAUUGACAGCUGAAGCCGAGACUUAACACAACUGUGAAUCAAUAACUUGGUGCUACUGUAAAAGGUAGGCUCAGCGUGAGUGUUUGUAUCAGUUUCUUUUAAAGUGUGUUGAGUGCAGACUUGACAGUUAACAGAGGCCUAUCUUCACACAGCAGCAGUGCCU
rnacentral:lncRNA from 1 species